rnacentral:rRNA from 1 species
GCAAGUCUUAUUUUGAUUAUAUUAUUAUAUAUAAUCUAUAAGAUUGUAUUAAAAUUGAAUAAAGCUUUGUUUAUAUAUCGAUAAUGCCGGUAUAUAUAUCGUGUCUUGGCUAAUUACGUGCCAGCAGCCGCGGUAAUACGUAAGAGACUAGUGUUAUUCAUCUUAAUUAGGUUUAAAGGGUACCUAGACGGUCAAUAUAGCUUCUAUAAUGUUGGUACUUGACUAGAGUUUGAUAUAAGAGGGCAGUACUUGAGGAGGAGAGAUGAAAUUCUAUUAUACCAAAGGGACUCGGUAAAGGCGAAGGCAGCCCUCUAUGUAAAAACUGACGUUGAAGGACGAAGGCACAGAGCACAAACAGGAUUAGAUACCCAAGUAGUCUUUGCAGUAAAUGAUGAAUGUCAUAGGUUAGAUUAAGCUUUAAUUAAUUAGUUUAUCAGUAAUGAACUAACUAUUAAACAAUAUUUAGUCUAUAAAUGAAAGUGUAAGCAUUCCACCUCAAGAGUAAUGUGGCAACGCAGGAACUGAAAU